ensembl:snRNA RNU4-69P RNA, U4 small nuclear 69, pseudogene
AACUUCACAAAGAGGCAGUAUUACACCCACUGAGGUUUAUCCAAGGUAUGAUUCUUGCUAACUGAAAACUUUUCUCAAUGUCUCACCAUGAUGACUUGAAGUCUGAUAUUCGACUUUGGCAAUUUUUAACAAUCACUGUGGGA